CGGGACGGGUGAGUAAUGUAUAGGGAUCUGCCUGAUGGCGGGGGAUAACUACUGGAAACGGUAGCUAAUACCGCAUAAUGUCUACGGACCAAAGCGGGGGACCUCCGGGCCUCGCGCCAUCAGAUGAACCCAUAUGGGAUUAGCUAGUAGGUAAGGUAACGGCUUACCUAGGCGACGAUCCCUAGCUGGUCUGAGAGGAUGAUCAGCCACACUGGGACUGAGACACGGCCCAG
rnacentral:rRNA from 1 species